rnacentral:rRNA from 1 species
UUCCGGUUGAUCCUGCCGGACCUGACUGCUAUCGGAUUGAUACUAAGCCAUGCGAGUCAUUGUAGCAAUACAAGGCAGACGGCUCAGUAACGCGUAGUCAAUCUACCCUAUGGACGGGGAUAACCUCGGGAAACUGAGAAUAAUACCCGACAGAACAUUAUGCCUGGAAUGGUUUAUGUUUUAAAUGAUUUAUCGCCGUAGGAUGGGACUGCGGCCUAUCAGUUUGUUGGUGAGGUAAUGGCCCACCAAGACUAUUACAGGUACGGGCUCUGAGAGGAGUGGCCCGGAGAUGGGUACUGAGACACGGACCCAGGCCCUAUGGGGCGCAGCAGGUCAGAAAACUUUGCAAUGUGCGAAAGCACGACAAGGUUAAUCCGAGUGGUUUCUGUUAAAGUAUCCGUUUGUUACUCCUAGAAACACUGAUGAAUAAGGCGUGGGCAAGUUCUGGUGUCAGCCGCCGCGGUAAAACCAGCACCUCAAGUGGUCAGGAUGAUUAUUGUGCCUAAAGCAUCCGUAGCUUGCUUUGUAAGUUCUCGGUUAAAUCCAUACGCUUAACGUAUGCGCUGCCGGUAAUACUGCAAAGCUAGGGAGUGGGAGAGGUAGACGGUACUCGGUAGGAAGGGGUAAAAUCCUUUGAUCUAUUGAUGACCACCUGUGGCGAAGGCGGUUUACCAGAACACGUCCGACGGUGAGGGAUGAAAGCUGGGGGAGCAAACCGGAUUAGAUACCCGGGUAGUCCCAGCUGUAAACUAUGCAAACUCAGUGAUGCAUUGGCUUGUGGCCAAUGCAGUGCUGCAGGGAAGCCGUUAAGUUUGCCGCCUGGGAAGUACGUACGCAAGUAUGAAACUUAAAGGAAUUGGCGGGAAGGGCGAAUUCG